UACGAAGGGGGCUAGCGUUGUUCGGAAUCACUGGGCGUAAAGGGCGCGUAGGCGGCUUUAUAAGUCGGGGGGUGAAAGCCUGUGGCUCAACCACAGAAUUGCCCUUCGAUACUGUAGAGCUUGAGACCGGAAGAGGUAAGUGGAACUGCGAGUGUAGAGGUGAAAUUCGUAGAUAUUCGCAAGAACACCAGUGGCGAAGGCGGCUUACUGGUCCGGUUCUGACGCUGAGGCGCGAAAGCGUGGGGAGCGAACGGG
rnacentral:rRNA from 1 species